UCCAGGCUGUAAACGAUGCGGGCUAGGUGUCACCAGAGCCACGAGCUCCGGUGGUGCCGGAGGGAAGCCGUUAAGCCCGCCGCCUGGGAAGUACGGCCGCAAGGCUGAAACUUAAAGGAAUUGGCGGGGGAGCACUACAACGGGUGGAGCCUGCGGUUCAAUUGGAUUCAACGCCGGGAAGCUUACCGGGGGAGACAGCUGGAUGAAGGUCGGGCUGGACCACCAGACUAGCU
rnacentral:rRNA from 1 species